rnacentral:lncRNA from 1 species
GAAGGGCAUAGUCAAAUCUCUUCUUGUUCGCCGCCUCUUUCUCAAACUCAUAGCAGCCCACGAAUGAAAUGAAGACAGCGUCAGUAGUCACCAUAUGAGUUUGGUCCAGAAGACCAAGGACCACACCGCCACAGGCGGCGCAAAUCUUUGAAACCUUGCAACCAACCUCCUCGUGAGAGCAAAAUGCCCACCAAACACAACAAUAGGAAGCCUCUCGAAGCCCAAUAUUUUUCUCUAUUUUUAGAACACCGCCUACCCACCUGUCUUCCUCUCAUUGGCCACGCUCGAUUGGUCAGACGCCGACAUAAGGGCGAAACCAGUGGCCUUCGGGGCACGCAAAAGCCAAACCGCGCCGUUUCCUGUCCUCGCUUAGGUUUCUUCGUUUAGCCAGCACUACUGAGUAGAGAGAUGGCGGAGCGGCUCUCAUCCACCGCGGCCUCCCGCCUCGGCGCCUGCCUCCUUCCCCCCGCCGCCGCCUCCUCCAAGCGGGCGUCCGUGACCCGAUCGUCCCUCCCCGUCCUCCCAUCUCCGCCUUGCGCCGCCGCCGGCCUCCGUUCCCGCCUCCUCCCUGCCGCCGGCCUCCGCCCCUCCUCGCCUCUCUCCUCCCUCCGCCUCGGUCUCUGCCAGGUUCGCCCUCUUAGCCACCGGUAGUUACAUUGAUCAGGAAAUCAGGAAAUUGAUCGUUUUUGGCUUAUGUAUUUUUCUCUUGGCUAUGUUGGAACUUGGAAUUCUUAG